ensembl:lincRNA
AUGGGACAGCUAAAACUACCACAGCGCAUCCUCAUUGAAACGCACAUGUCGUACGAAGCACGCACAGGUCAGGGCACGUCACCAGGGGUCAGGACCAGACACCGAGCACGGGUCAGAGGACCAGACACCGAGCACGGGUCAGAGGACCAGACACCGAGCACGGGUCAGAGGACCAGACACCGAGCACCCCCCCCCCCCCCCCCCCCCCCCCCCCCCCCCCCCCCCCCCCCCCCCCCCCCCCCCCCCCCCCCCCCCCCCCCCCCCCCCCCCCCCCCCCCCCCCCCCCCCCCCCCCCCCCGAGCACGGGUCAGAGGACCAGACACCGAGCACGGGUCAGAGGACCAGACACCGAGCACGGGUCAGAGGACCAGACACAGAGCACCAGACACAGAGCACGGGUCAGAGGACCAGACACCGAGCACGGGUCAGAGGACCAGACACCGAGCACGGGUCAGAGGACCAGACACAGAGCACCAGACACAGAGCACGGGUCAGAGGACCAGACACCGAGCACGGGUCAGAGGACCAGACACCGAGCACGGGUCAGAGGACCAGACACAGAGCACGGGUCAGAGGACCAGACACAGAGCACGGGUCAGAGGACCAGAGACAGAGCACGGGUCAGAGGACCAGACACAGAGCACGGGUCAGAGGACCAGACACAGAGCACGGGUCAGAGGACCAGACACAGAGCACGGGUCAGAGGACCUGCCAGACACGGGGGGGGGGGGGGGGGGGGGGGGGGGGGGGGGGGGGGGGGGGGGGGGGGGGGGGGGGGGGGGGGGGGGGGGGGGGGGGGGGGGGGGGGGGGGGGGGGGGGGGGGGGGGGGGGGGGGGGGGGGGGGGGGGGGGGGGGGGGGGGGGGGGGGGGGGGGGGGGGGGGGGGGGGGGGGGGGGGGGGGGGGGGGGGGGGGGGGGGGGGGGGGGGGGGGGGGCCCAGCCAACACGGGUUCGGACCAGUCUGCAAAAGACAAUAAUUGUGAAAAUGAACCACACAACCAUCUUUGCAAAGGUUCUCAGGAUACAAUGAAAGUACCGAUCAUUAAAACCUCGUAUUCACCACUUUGAGGAAAAACGAGAUAUAAAUCACCGGUGGAAGCCACCCUUACUCAAUGUGCAGGUUCGUUCCCGUUCUUGUGUUCCUUAUAAAAGGCUCAAGCAAGGUCGAGCUUUUUCUGCGUCGCAUCCAGCUGCUGCUGCAGCCGCUUCUUGCGCCAAUCGAGGAAUCGCCGACGCAGCUUGUUUCCUUGCCAACCAAUUAUCACGCCGGCUGUGAAGGAAAGAGCCACGCACACUAUCACCGACCUCUCACUCACGUCUCUCAUCGUGCGGGGACACUUCCGCCUUGUUUACGUCACUUCCGCACUUCCGCCUUGUUUACGUCACUUCCGCCUUGUUUACGUCACUUCCGCAUUUGCUUCUUUUUUUUCCCCUUCAUUCCCAGAUGAUUUCUCUUGAUGAUGCUCUCGAUUCAAUGGGAGAGUUUUCAGUUGUUUCUCAGAUAGAGAUUUGAACUGUAAACGACGAUACUUGAACAUACAAAGCUCACUUGAGAC